UCUCCGGUUUCAUUCCUUCUCUGCCGCACCCAUUUCCUCCCCUUCGCUCCCCUUCCGAUGCCCACCCGCACGCCCCUCCUCCGCCAGAUCUCCGCGGCGGUUACCGGAGGCCUUCCUCGCGUGGAGGGGCACCGGUCGCGGGAGCCAUCACCGGGCACUUGGCACGGGCGGUCCGCUGGCGGAUCUUGGGGCGGCAGGCCUGGGGCCAGCGAGCCGCGGCCGGAUCUCGGGGCGGCCCGUCUCGGGCGCCGCUGCCGAAUGCUUGGCCGACAGGGGAAGGAGGAGGUGGAGUCCGCCGGGCGCUGCACGGGCGGUCCGCCGGCGGUGGAACAAACGCCUAGGCCGCCGGCGCUCGGUCCCCGUCCCGCUCGCGCCGCCCUCGCCCUCCCCGUCCCGCCCUGCAUCCUAAACACCCGCGUCCAUCGCCUGCCCUGAUCAGCGCUCUGCGCCUACUCCUCUGCGACGGCGGUGGUGCUGCUCCUUCCCGAUCCAAAUUGGAUCGAACUCGCCCAGCCCAGAUCGAGUCCCUUUCACUAUGAGCUCUUCCUGAACUUUCCACCUUACUUCUUUUUUUUUAGAUCUGUUACUAACAGCUUUGUUUUGCACAGAUUCUACGCAUCCGGUAGCUGCGUGUUCGGGGUCCAUCCUCUUCAGUUAGCAUCAGCAGAUGAACUCCUCCUUUUGUUCGUCCUGGACGUAGCCUCAGAUUGGAACUAUCUAAACAGGAGUCACCACGGCAGCGUUUAGAAUUCCUCUGCAGGAAACUAGGUGCUUCAGAUUUGGUGUAUCUUUGCUACAGGGACUAGGUUCUGGGCCUCUGGCAUGGAUCACUUGCGGUUUUUACAUGGGUUUCUCCUUCCCCAAUUAAAACUCGGUAAGAUGACUUCUUAUCUUCCUAUGAUAUCCACUCAGCUGGCUUGUUUAAUGCUCCUCCUUUCUCUGGUUACCUAUGCGCGUGUGCUGGUACUUUAUUCCCUAAAUUCUGGAUUUAAGCCUUUUCUAUUUUGCCAAAAUAUUAACUCAUUCCUAAGGCUUAUGUGGCCUUUGAUAUUUUGGCAAUUACAUGUCGAAUAGUUUUCUGGUGUUUUCCUUAAGCACAACGUCGAGGUCACCUAUCAAUUACUGGCAUUGUUUCCACAUAGAAAAAAAAUCAUUCGAGAUGCGGGAAUGGAAGUACAACUGCUAGGUAACUACUCAAACAUAAUGGCUCUGUUCUCAGAUGUAAACAAUAAUAGAUUAAUUUUGUUUACAUUCAUAUAGUUUCAAUCUUACACCAUCAUGAUUCUGAACCCUUGCAAUGAGUUAAUAUUUGUCAAUGCAUACAUUCCACAUGGAUCUUUCCUCAUAAAAAAAGCACGAGAAAAAGAUAUCUCCAUGGUCAUAGAAAUUAAGGAUAGAGCAGGUAAAUAUUGGCAUUUCCAUACAGUUGACUUAAUGUAUGACAGUAGCAAGUUUUCCAACAGCUUUGGUCAAAGCUGAUUACCAGUCAUAAAAUGCAGUCGUACAUAUAUUGUUCCUUUCCCGUCAAUAAUUUGAAAAAGAGAUUGUCAUCAAAAGGGGAAGCAGAAAACAAAAGGCUUCUAGAUCUGUAUGUGCUGCGACCCUCUAGGUUCAAAUUAGAGUCAGUUCUAGUUUUUGUUGUUUCUUGGAUUAAAAAACAUAUAUUUUUUGUUGGUACUAAUAUGCUUUGGAUGUAGAUAUUCAAGGAUUAAAGGAUAAAGCUAGCACGGCUUAAACAUUUGAGGUUGAGUUUAAAUUUAAAUCGACAUGGUAAAAGGAUAUUCUAGCACUUUGUGUAGUUGCCAGCAGUAAGCAGAAAAAUUCUUGCAAUAGUAAUUUGUUCUUUUAGAUUAAUCUUUUAGGGGAUUAUACUACCUGAUUUUUAUUAUGACUAUGCUUCUUCUUAAACUAACAUUGUUUCCAAACCAAGUCACUUAUCUUUCAUAAUUCUCGCAUCCGUAAAAAUGAUCUCAAUCAUUGUGCUUUGAUUUGAUACUGCAAUCUGCUAUGAUUUGUUCUAACCUAGCAAUGCAACUCACUCACAAAUCUCUUCUACGGUUUUCCUUUUCCCAUUCUGUGUUUGUGCCUACUAACUUUUCAUAUUUCCAGGAUGGUACGGUGAAGAAGGCUCCGAUAGAUACUGCUAUAAGGCAAUUUAAACUUGGCCAUCAACCACAAGGGUGUUUCAAAAUUUAAUCUUGUACAUUGUUUGCUUGCAACAGUGAUGUGUAUAGGGCUUGUCUCAGCCUGGUAGAGAUUUUGAGCGGUAUUCUUUACUCAAGGAAUGUGGCAGAUCAACCCGUAAGUGCAAAUUCCAGCUGUAUGUUUUGUGUCCUUGACAUAUUUUUGAGCAUCCUAGCUAAAAACUCAUUUGGAGCAUAUUGAUCAUUGAUUCUUCAAAUGUAUUUCACAUUCUUUUUCCUGAAACAAUAGCAUUUCAAUGAAAACACUAAAAUAACUUUGUGCUGGAGCUUCUUGUUGUACGUAUAUGGCAUGUCUGUGUUACUAUAUUUUAGGGCACUAUCACAAUGAGAUUGCAAAAUUGUAAUUGGCAUGCAAGAUGAGUUAAACUUGGGAGGUGCGUGUAGCCUUUUUGAUAUAUGGCCUACAAACCAUAGCUCCGUUGCUUCACUGACAGAUGCGUGACAAAAUACAGACGGAACUUUGAAGACAUCCAAAUAUAAUUAUGAGAAUCUGUUUGUAAUAUUUUUCAAACCGCAGAUAACAGAUGGCUAUUUUGUUUGUCGUAUAGCUUUCAACUGUAACAAUGCUAACAUUUCCGCCAGUCGCGGACUCGUGGGUGGUGAUAGUUGGAUAUUUGGAAGUUGUAUUUUUUAAAUAAUCUGCAAUUCAAAAAAGGAACUCGAGUUCAAUAAUGAAGUUGUGUUUGAUACUGCAAAUUUUAAAACUGUCCCCAUUUUUGGUCUUGGUGUUCUUGGUGAGACAGACAUAGGGAGGGAGGGUGGAAGGGGGGAAGGACUGUCUACUUUAGGAAUUGUGCAGUGUGGGUAGUUGCUGGUCCAUGUGUCCUUUUAUUCUGAUCCUGCUCCAGCAACCCACAACAUUUGCUUGAAUCAAGAAAUUUGUGUAAGGUACAGUGCUAUCUUUGGUUCACACCUUUACAAAACUGAUUUGUCAUGUUUUCUA